rnacentral:rRNA from 1 species
GACGAACGCUGGCGGCGUGCUUAACACAUGCAAGUCGAACGGAAAGACCCUGCUUUUGUGGGGUGCUCGAGUGGCGAACGGGUGAGUAACACGUGAGUAACCUGCCCUUGACUUUGGGAUAACUUCAGGAAACUGGGGCUAAUACCGGAUAGGAGCUCCUGCUGCAUGGUGGGGGUUGGAAAGUUUCGGCGGUUGGGGAUGGACUCGCGGCUUAUCAGCUUGUUGGUGGGGUAGUGGCUUACCAAGGCUUUGACGGGUAGCCGGCCUGAGAGGGUGACCGGCCACAUUGGGACUGAGAUACGGCCCAGACUCCUACGGGAGGCAGAAGUGGGGAAUAUUGCACAAUGGGCGGAAGCCUGAUGCAGCAACGCCGCGUGCGGGAUGACGGCCUUCGGGUUGUAAACCGCUUUCGCCUGUGACGAAGCGUGAGUGACGGUAAUGGGUAAAGAAGCACCGGCUAACUACGUG